rnacentral:lncRNA from 1 species
CGUAAUCUUGUGUUUUCUUUGCUCCUGCAUAGCUACUUUGCGCUUCACAAUAAACUAGCACUCCUGGAAUUGAAUGUGUUUAAAACAGCCUUCUAGUAUUUUCCAUCAGUUGGUAGUACAAUACAAAAUGUCUGAUUCAUUAUGAGUCAGUCUCUUCCAGUCAGACACCUAGAGGGGAAACAUCCUUGUCAGGUGUUGGCUAUAACAGGGGCUAUAACAGGGGUGAUACAGUUUCUGGUCAGGUGUUGGGCUAUAACAGGGGCUAUAACACGGGUGAUACAGUUUCUGGUCAGGUGUUGGGCUAUAACGGGGGUUUUACAGUUUCUGGUCAGGUGCUGGGCUAUAACAGGGGCUAUAACAGGGGUGAGACAGUUUAUCUGGUCAGGUGUUGGGCUAUAACAGGGGUGAUACAGUUUAUCUGGUCAGGUGUUGGGCUAUAACAGGGGCUAUAACAGGGGUGAUACAGUAUAUCUGGUCAGGUGUUGGGCUAUAACAGGGGUGAUACAGUUUAUCUGGUCAGGUGCUGGGCUAUAACAGGGGCUAUAACAGGGGCUAUAACAGGGGUGAUAUAGUAUAUCUGGUCAGGUGUUGGCUAUAACAGGGGUGAUACAGUUUAUCUGGUCAGG